AUAUUUACCUGGCAGGGGAGAUACCAUGAUCACGAAGGUGGUUUUUCCAGGGCCAGACUUAUCCAUUGCAUUCCGGAUGUGCUGACCCCUGCGAUUUCCCCAAAUGUGGGAAACUCGACUGCAUAAUUUGUGGUAGUGGGCGACUGCGUUCGCGCUUUCUCUUG
ensembl:snRNA U1 U1 spliceosomal RNA